GGUGGGAUGGCAGAGCGGCCCAUUGCGCCGGUCUUGAAAACCGGUCCCCGUGAGGGGUUCCUGGGUUCGAAUCCCAGUCCCACCG
rnacentral:tRNA from 1 species